GCUGCCUUGUGUUCUUUUAACGUCUCCGCUACUCUCUGUUUUUCUUUCAGUGCGACUUGUGAUUUUUUUUAAUGUCCGAUUUUUUGUUUUAAUGGCAGUAACGGCCCCAUGAAGAAAAAAAAUUUUUUCAGGCAGUGUCUGGAAGCCCUGUCACGAAGGACCCCUCCUGUAGAACCCACGUUGGAAUGUGGAGGGUUCUGGCCGCCUGGAGACAGCAAAAUUAAAGAAACGAAAGGAUAUGGAGCGGGGAAAGAGACAAACUUCAUCAGAUAGCGGCAUAGGGCUCCUACGCUGGGGGAUGCUUGUCCGAGGACUACAAGUCCCAUCAUGCAAAGCGCUAGUUGGAGCCCAGCGGCCGUCGGAUUCCAAAUCCGCGCGUUUCGUCAUGGCUAAGCGUGCAUUAACAAAUAACCCAGGAGCUGCAGACUGACUGGUCCACAGAAGGAGACUGUUAUUCUUAUUUCUUGUAAUAAAAAUGAUCAGUGGUUG